rnacentral:lncRNA from 1 species
UACGACAAACAUAAACUGUGAGUUUGAAUACAAAUAUUAUCUACUACAGAUUAUACAAACUCAAAAGGAGUCCUCAUUACAAUUAUUAUCACACUAUUUCACAGAAUAGUGAGGACUACUAAUGCUAUCCUCUGGACCAUCACUCCGUUUCCCGACUCGUCCCAGCUAUAUUCUCAUUUCCUGAAGAGAACAGUGAAAGAAAGGGUGAGCUCAACUAGCCCAGUAAGAAAUAUUAUG